CCAUCGGCUGUGUGGUCAGAUUUGUGACUGGAACCAUGCGUGCGAUGCGGGAUAGGUGGCUGGAAGUCGCACACGUUGGGUGAGUGGCGGACGAGAAGCAGGGAGAAUCCUCACCAACCAUAUGUGGGAGCGGUUUCAGCCCAGGUGGAGGGCGUGGUGCCGCCUUCCGGGGCAGCGGCAUCAAGGCCAUCGACCAACGGAUCACGGCAGCAAUGGCGUACAGCCACCACAUGGAGCAGGGCAACGGCAAAGCCAUCCUUGUCUUGCGCGUCAGCAGCCGCAUGUCAUCUUCAAGAUUUCGCUUGGUGGUGGCACUCCUGCAGGCCAAGGCAGUGGCCGAGUGGUGGCUAGCAAGGAAGAAGCUGGGCAGCGGAAUAGAUGGACACGACUGCCUGCACAACAAUGCUGUUGCAAUAUCAAGACUGGGUAUCAACACCUCAGCCAAUGGUGAAGAAGACUCCUCUAGCUGUAACUAAGAGGUAGUGAGAAGAAACGUUUCUUCCAAUAUAGAAGGUAAGCCUUGUGUUCAAAAUGCAAAAUAAAAGGACAAUGCUGCUGAGUAAGAGCAGUACCCAAUAGAGCACUAGAGCUAGACAGUUUUGCUUUAUAUUUUGUACUCACAUGAUAGAUGCCAACAGUUUAUGCUAAUAAUCUCUUUUCUCAAUUGACCUUUUGUACUCACAUGAUAGGUGCCAACUAAUAGAGAAGAUACUCACAUGAUAUUUUGCAAUGAAGUGUUUUAUGCAACAAUUUAGCGGCCUUGUUUACUUCCGAAAUUUUUUGCAAAAUAGGAAUAGUAGCAUUUUCGUUUGUAUUUGAAAAAUAUUAUCCAAUCAGGGACUAACUAGGCUCAAAAGAUUCGUUUCGUAAAUUACAGGUAAACUGUGUAAUUAGUUAUUUCUUUUAUCUAUAUUUAGUGCUUCAUGCAUGUGCCGCAAGAUUCGAUAUGAUGGGGAUGUGAAAUGUAGCACCCGGUUUUAAGCACAAAAUCACAUACACACCAUAUAUGAGCACAGAAAGUCAAAUCUCAUAUAUAGUUACAAAUAAGGGUAAUAUCAAUAGACAAUGCUUAAUAUAUAACAAACUUAACAUAAAAGAUAUAACCUUAGAUAGCAAACAGCGGAAAGACACUCCGUUCUUCAGGCGAAAGCUCCAAAUCCACAGGAAGAACUGACUGGUUGAGCAUAAGCCUAAACUCUUCUCCAAACUAGUAAUUUGGUAUCCAUCCGAGAUUUUUAUCCAAAUAAAGAAAAUAAACAAGCAUAAGUACAUCUCGUACUUAACAAGUGUAACAUGGGGUUCAUGAGACUCAAAGGCUAGACACGAGUUUAACUACAUGUAGCUUUUAGUUGUCACAAUUUUAGCAUAGGAGUAGCAUCAAGUUGUCAAGUCCCAAAGUAAACUCAUGAUCAAGUAAAGUGAAUAAAGAAUAGCAUAAACAAUACAUUAACAACAAUAACAUUAAUAAAUUGUCAUUAGUGAUCAUUUAUUAUGUAUUGGUUCCAAGGCUGCUCGUGACCGUGAGCACGGCUAAUAUAUCAGUUUUACACUCUGCAGAGGUUGUACACUUUCACUGUGAGUCGUGAUUUACCAUUUCACCCGAGGUCGCGAGUCUCUUAACUCCCUUCCUAGGGAGGUCGGCAGGGUUCACUAUGAAGCCUUUCAAAGGUUCGUCUAACAAGUUAGGGCCGCUUGGUUUCAUUGGUCAGUCAGUGUGAUUCUACCGCGCAGGAAAUCCAUGGUCUGCUAUCCCCCAUUUGCGCCACACGGGUAACCUCUAACAAGCUAGAAAAGGUCCUCAUUCUGAGCUAAAGCUAGAGCCAUGUAGCCUCAUAGUUGUAUUAUAUGUCCCAGAUGAUCAUAUACAGAUAAAACCUUAUGGAGAGAAACUAGAGCACCAUAAAAUAGCUCAAUGCUCUAGCCCGCUUUACCAAAGUUGCUAAAAAGUCAUCUUUUAACGUUUAUUGCAUAUUCUAUUAAUCAAAUUACAAGAUCAUAGUUUAGUAGAGCACUAGCAUAAGCUACCCAAUGCAAAACCAUAGGUGACAAGGUAUAAGACCAAUACUAGGAUAUCCUUAACAAGGAGACACAUGCAAUAUGAAUUAUGUGUGAUUAUAGUUGUUAGGAAAGCAAGGAUGAUCCCAUGCUAUACUUGCCUUAAACUUAGAUCCUUCUUCAAGUCCAAACCUUCAAAGAUCUGCUUCUGAAUCACACGUAUAUCUUACCAACUGGACAUGAUCAUAAAGCACCACACUAGCAUCUACGCAAUCAUACACAAAGCAAACAAUAUAAAUAAAUUAAAAUAGCACACCAAUCAAUAAAAAGGUUUGAAAACUAAUCUACGCAUCGUUACGAGCACAUAGAUGUAAAAAACAUGCUAAUCAGAGCUACGGUGAAAAAAAAAACAACGACCGAAAGAUUGUCUUUAUAAGAGAGAGAAAACUUUAAGCCUUCAUUUAUUAUUUUAAUUGAGCAAAACUAUGUAAAAUGUUAUUUAGACUAGAUUAACUUAAUUCAAAAGCUAGGCUAAAUACUCAUAUUGUAUUUAUAAAUAAUGUCAUAUAAUUUAAUCAAGUUAAACUUUAUCUUUGCAAAAGAAAAAGUAUAUGUGAAUGCGACUAUUUGAGUUUAUCACAUAUGCAACGUGUUUAAACUAAGCAACUUAGAAUUUAGAAACAUAUUUUUAUAAACAACUAAUUAUAUUAAUAUUUUAUUUGAAAGCAUAAAUUAAUACAUGCUAUCGAGAGUUUUAUAUAUUAUAAGAAACAACUACGAGCUUGAUUUAUUUUAAUUAAGUAAAACUAUGUAAAUAGUAUUACUUCAGAUUAAUUAAAGUUAGUUAAUUUCAAAAUUCAACUUAAAAAUAAACAUUUAUAAUAUAAUUUAUAAUAAGGGUCCAACAUAUGUAGUGCGUUGAAACUAACAAAGUUAUAAUUAGAAACAAAUUUGUUAAAACUAGUCAAACUAAUAUUUAUUUAUGAAAAAUUGAUUCUUACUUAGAUUUCUUUUAAUUGUAAAACUGGUGGCAUGCAUAUUAGUCAAUUUAGUAAUUCUACGAUAUAGAAAAACAUGUAGCAUCAUGAACGUUGAUAAUGACACGUAGAUUACGUCAACAUGUACGUGAGUCCGAAUGAUGAACUAGAGGAGAAUUAAAGGUCACGUACGAGUAGAAAAAAUCACGUCCAACACUUGGAUAAAUAUAUAGCUAAAAAAUACCAUGAAUAGGUGGACUGAAAAUUGAUUCAAUAACGAUCUGCUCUAGUCAUAGAUUGUAAGGAGGCAAACCCGGCGGUAGAAUGUAUGAUCUGUAGAUAGCUAGUAAACUCACAUAUCAAUGGUGGAGAGAUGCUACAGAUUUGCACGUAAGCAUGCAUCACGGAAUUGUGCUUGCUGGGUGAUGGCCUCCUGUCACAUACAGAGCAGAGAGAUUGGCGGCGUGUGAUAGCUAGUUGCUCGGCUGCAAAAAGUAGUGGAAUAGGUUGGUUGACAUAACCUUGUAGUCUCUAGACAUAGCAGAUAGACAGAGUAAGUUCGCCAUGAAACAAACAACAGCUAGAAACAGAAGAUUGGAUUGUAUAACAUACAUAGAACAUGAAUGGUGAGAAGGUUCGUGUAAGUGCUCACCAUGUUUCAGCUAGUACGAACGGCAGCGGCGUGUGGCCGGGUUCUACCUGGACAGGGGCGGAGCUAGAAUUUAAACAUAGGGGGGGCCGUGCAAACCAAGAACAGUUAUGUAUAUCAAAAUAUUACAUGACAAAGGUGUACAUAGCAGCAAAAUAAACGUUUGCGUCACGAUAAAAACAAGAAGAAAAACUAAAAAAAUAAAGAUAAAUUAAUUAGUCUCAGGCCUCUAACCUUCACCUAAUCAAUCUAUUUCUUUGGCCAGGAAAAGAACCACAAUAAAACAAGUAGUUAAACAGGGGCAAAAUUAAUUAGCACUAGAUCCUAACAUUGGAUGACAAACAAUCAGUUGCAUAUCGUUUAGCCUCAGCCAAGAUGAUCACUUAAACGGGUAAAAUGGUCAAAAAUAGAAGGUUAAACAGAAACACCAUACCACUGUUAGUGUUUAAAAGUUGAGUACACGAGCUAAAUAACCGUUUAGAGUUUAGACAAAUAAUGAUAAAAACUUAGGAGAUAAGAAAGAUAAUAGGAAGACUAAUGCUAAAUAAUAUAGAUUCUAUUGUUGGGGAUCAAUUCAGAAGGAUUAAACAAGAAAAACACUGAUUUUUAAUUAACUAGCUAAUUAGAGUAUGUAGUACGGGACAAACUAAUGUUUGAUAGACAAUAAUAAAAAUAAAAGAUAUGAAGAAAAUAUUAGAAAGAUCUAGAUUUUAUUUGUAUAAAAAACUAUUAGAGAUUAAUAUGAAAUAAGAAUAAAAAUCUUAGUAUAGAUAAUAUUAUUAAUAACUAGUUAAUUAGACAAUUCAGCAUCUAAUUUAUGGGAUGUAUUAAGGGAGUUAUGGGAAGGUUGGGGGGUGCCAGGCCCCCCUCAGCCCCCCCUUCCCUCCGCCACUGUACGUGGAGACGAAAGUGUCAGCGGGAGCUUCAUGUGGUCUUGUUCCUAACGUGCUGGAUGAGCACGGUGCGACUGUGACGUUGAAGAUGUUAUGUUAAUUUACGAUUUCCAAACUAGGGACUCCCCUUAUGGUAGUUUUGGUAUAUUUGUCUAAAGAGCUGGUACAAAUAUAGAGAGAACACUUCCACAUCAACUAGCGAUAUGAUACUAAUUGAUGUUACACCUUCACCUUCAGCCUAAAUAAGCCCAUUUAUAAAUAAAGACAUGGACCUUCAGCGUGGGAAAAGAAUAAGAGAUUUAUUAUUUUCGAAAUUAAUUAAUUUUCAUGGAUAAAAUAAUUCUAUAAAAGUCUAGAAUUAUUAUUUAAGCCGUGAAAAAUAUUCCGAAAGCUCCGAAAAUUUGGAGAAAAUUCUCAGAGACAUUAUAGAACAUGAGAAACUCAAAUGAAGUAUUUUGGAGCCCAUGAUAAGAUUGCUUGGAGCAUCUAAAAAUUAGAUUAUGCUCACAGAAAAGUGAGAACAGAAGCUAGAAAAAUUCCCGAAAAGUUUGUAGGGAUUGCUUGAUGGAUGAGAAACUAAAAGAAGUGAUUUGGGUGACAAAGAAAAGAUUUUAGAAAGCUCCUAAUAAAAACUUGAGCUGAGAAAUAAGGAAUUUGGUUGUAGAUAAAGAUAAAGACAAAGAAGAUCAUUCUACUAAACGCAAUUUUAAAAAAAACUUUGCUCACUCUCAAGACACAAAGGAGCAACAAGCAAACAUUACAUAAAAUCUUAUGCACCAGUAUGUAUGCACAAUAAUGUUGCUUAACCUUAUGAUAAAUUUUAAUUUAAUGAAAAAUAUUAUUUUUCCUAUAUUUUUAUGAGCACAAAAAUAUAUAAUUAAAUUAUUUUAACUCUAUUUCAAAAAGAACAAAAUUUAGGGUGUUACAUGAAAAAUUUUGCAAAAUAUUUUGGGAACUAAACAAGCCUUUUUUCAUAUGGAAGAAAAAUGUUAGUACUGGAUAGUAGAUUCCGUAAGGGAUUUCCUCCAAUUAUUUUAUUACUUAUUAAUCUUUGAUCUUUUCUAAAAUGUUGUAGCAUCAACGGAAAGCCUGAAUGGGACUUUGUUUUCACCUACACAUAAACUUGGUGUUUUGGAUGGUUGCAAACAGUUUUUUUUGUGACUAUGGUUGCAAACAGUUCUGUGUUCCUUUAUGCUCUGUUUGGGAUGGAAUAGGUAGGGCACAAUAGUAUCAUUUUGGUUCUUUUAUUUAGUUACAUUAGAUGAACAAAUUAAAAUAGUUGACAUCAGUUUUAGGAAUGAAAUUUCUUUGCACUUUUAACUGGACAAAUAAUCAUCAUAAGCAAGUGCCAUAAGCACGUGGUUAUCACAAAGGUCCUUGUAUUGUCUCUGUUCAAACAUUCUACAACUUUAGUCACACAUACUGGUCAUACAUUGAUACUUUAAUCUUUUAACCAAGCAUAGCCCUUGUACCCUGGAUUCCGUUCAAUAGAUCAGGAGCUAUAUUUGGCAAUGGAGUGGCAUUAUAAAUUUGCAUUCCUUUUCUAUGGGCGCCUGGGCAUGAGAAUAUUGGUACGUUGUCAUCAUAGAGCAUAGAGGCUUAAGAGUUUAAGACUACUCCCUAGGUUCAGGCUUCAGCAUCCUAAUGAACAUAGAAAAUCAGAGUUCUGCUUUGUACUAUCGUCACUUCUUGAUCAAGCAAACUGUAUAGCAUGCAUCUCUAAAAAUAGAAUUAGCACCGUGCGAGCUGUAAAGUAAUGUUUGUUUCUAUUUUCAAAAUCAGUACCAUUGCAUUAUUCCUCGGUAGAAACUGGUGCUAGCUAUCUGAUUUUUUUCAAACACCUGCAGAUAAUAUUUUUUUCUUUGGUAUGUUAGUUAGCAAAUUCUGUGUAAAAGGUGCAAUUGCUUGUGUACAUGAGAGUUGGCUCCUUCAGGCCUGUAUAAGUUUGUGGUAGUGUGUGUGAUUGGAUAACUUUUUAAAUGGCAUCUUGGAAUUUUCUUUUCUACAAUUAUGAAGUGCAAAAAUAAUGAAAAAAAAUCGGCCUUGCACUAGACAUAUUUUACCUUUUAUCUGGUUUGGUUCAUCCACGGGUUUUGUUGGCAGUUUCAUAUGUAUAUGCUUGUAUGUAUAACUGAAUAAUGUUGUUUUCUGCUUGUGGUUGGAGAUCAAGUUUUGCCUGCCCGACUUCACUGGAUCUCAGGGUUCAGAGAAACUUCAUGGAUGCAAACAGAUUGUGGGCAUUCAUGAGCUCGUGGACAAGUUCUUGGAACUGAUGUUGUGGAGGAGAGGUCGAACUUGAGGUAGCUUUUCUUCCUGAAUCAAUUGGAGGCUGUUCUACUGCUGAGCAAAUUAAGAUUGCCCUCUUGCUUGAUGCUUUUAUUAAGGACAAAGCUUCAUUCUCAAGACAUGAUUGAAAAGGUUCAAAAAGCUCAAGAGCUUGGUAUGGAAAGCUUACCCUGUCCUCUUGGAUUGUUAUUGGACGAUUUCUAAUUCAUAGACGUAUGUUUUUGCUAUUGGAUUGAACUCUAUUUAUCCAAAGAUGUUUCAGAUUACAUUUUGGAAUCUGACUGUAGUGCUAGAUAGAGGUUAGAAACUCUGUUUUAAAGUACAAAAACUAAUUUGAUCUUUCUCAUCAAAUAGUAAUGUUAUUUAGCUACCACAAAUAAACACUUGCUCUUCUACAGGAAAGUGUCAGGCUUCCUUGUAUAUAGUUAUUUAAAAGAGUGAGACGGGGAAAAAUUGUCAGUCCACCCUAGUGGACGUUCACUGAGGACGGAAUGCUCGGUGGACAUUCUCAGAGUAAUCAAAAUGAACGUGCAAACAUUAAAGAGCUUCGAGAUCUACUUAAGCAAUUAGGAACUUAUUUGUAGUAUAAAUAUAUGAGACAUGGCUUUAUUGUUCCUUUUCUCUUAUUCAUAAGUGUAUUUUGGAUUAUAUUAAUUAUCAUAUGCAAUUGUCUGAGACUAUAAACUAUGAAAAAUACAUCGUUAUUUUGUUGAAAAUAGUUGUUUUUAUUAAGUAUAUCUUUAGAUAAAACCGUAGCAAAGCACGAGCACUAUACUAUCAUAGAAAGGGCAGAGAUAUCAUAUGAUGAUGUAGGUGUUGUUCUCGAAAGUGCAUCUGCCACUUUGUUGUCAGCUCCUUUCUUGUAUACUAUUUUGUAGUUUAAACCCAAAAGUUUGGUUAAUGCCUUGUGUUGCCAUGGUGUAGACAGUCUUUGAUCAUCUAAAUUUGUGAGACUUUUUUGAUCAAUAAGAACAACAAAAGAUGCAGACUGUAAAUAAUAAUACCAAUGGUCAACAGCCUUGAGAAUGGCUAGACAUUCUUUUUCAUAAGUAGAUAGACCUUGUGCUCUAGGUCCUAAAGCUUUACUGACAUAAGCAAUAGGAUGACCCUGCUGUUGAAGCACAACACCAAUGCCCUUUGCUGAGGCAUCUGUUUCUAUAAUAAAUGGUUUGGUGAAAUCUGGUAGUGCCAAAACUGGAGCUGAACUGAGUGCCUUUUUGAGAGCUUGGAACGAAGCUUCAGUUUCAGAUGUCCAAAUGAAUAGGGUUCCUUUCUUAAGGAGUGUGGUUAAAGGUUUGGAGAUGAGUCCAAAUUGAGAGACAAAGCGUCUGUAAUAGCCAACCAUACCCAAGAAACUCCUUAGAUCCUUCAGAUUAGUAGGAGUAGGCCAUUGCUGGAUGAUUUCAACUUUGGUUGGAUCAGUAGCCACUCCCUGAGCACUAACUAUGGGACUGUUUGGUUGCCUGGCUCUAACCCAGCCAAGCUUCAUAGGGCCAAGACACACACGUUUGGUUGUCUGUACACAUCUGUUAGCCAGGCUCCACGGGGCCAAACCAGGCUUGUUAGCCAGGCUUUGAAAGAACGCGGGUGGGAGUCGUUUUUCUGGAGCCAGGCUUCGGCCAGCUCAGGAUGACAUUCCCGUCACCUCCUCGCUGUGUGAGUGUGCCAUCUUCGGCUCUCCCUCGCGAGCUGCUCUUGUCCACAGCUGCUCUUGUCCACUCUCUUUGCUCUCGCUGUGUGAGUGUGCCAUCUUCGGCGGCCCUCCCUCGCGAGCUCGCCCCCUCCAUGGACGCCGGCGCAAGAGCUCAACCACAGGGAUUGUAUCCGCCGAAGGGAGGGAGGGAGCUCACAUCUACGUAUGUGCUCCGUUGUCAGGGCCGGGGUCGUGCCCACCGCCGGUGCCUCCGUUGGGACAAGGCCAGCCGCCGGUGCCGUGGUUGCCGGAGCGAGUGCCUGGACGCUCGUUGGAGUUUGAUGACGACCAAGCUGCGGCAGGGUAAAGCCACCGCCCAAGCCACGCCGAAGCCACGGGCAGGGCGGGGCUGCUGCACGGUGGCGGAACCGUUUGACAAGAUGACCACGAUGUACGGGUAUUGCUCGUCCGACGGCCACCUGAGAUGCAUCACGAAGCAUCUUCAUCCUCAAGCUACUUCCUUCCUUGCUUGAAGCAUCUUCAUUCUCAAGCUACUUUCUUCCUUGAUUGUGCAACAGGAAGCAGCAAUGGCAGAGCAGCACCACCCCGUACGUGUUCGAUAAAAUGCUUCAAAGAAGAGCACAGGUCUAGUGUAGUAAACCAAUUGGCACCCUGCAGUUCUUCCAACAAUUCUUCAAUUAUGGGUAGAGGGUACUUGUUCUUCGUAGUGAGAGCAUUCAAACGUCUGAAAUCAACACAGAGGCGCCAAUCUCCAGUUUUCUUGCGCACCAACAAGACAAGUGAAGAGGUUGUAACGAUAUGGCCUGAGACAGAAUGGUUAUGCCCCUUCAAGUAAUGGAAUCUUGUGGUCACCAAUCCUGGAAGGAGGCAUAUCGGAAGGUGGAGCAAAAACAUGUUCAAACUGCUGUAGAAGGUUUUGUAAAUCAGCUGGUAAUGAGGAGUGGUUGUCAACUGGAACAACUACUGCAUUGAGUUGAACUACAAACAGGAUGGAGUCUAUCUUGUUCAGAGCUUGUAACUGAAGAGGUGAAAUAGGAGGUCCCAUUGCAGCUUGAGAAGAGGACAUUUGCUGGAUAUGGAAGAAGUGUCUAAGAAGGUGGUUAUGCUCAUCUCUAUCAAAUUUGGUGGACACGGCUUGAACAAAAGAGGACGAUGACAUAGCUAGGAUUUUGAGCUUGCAUUGUCUGAAACCAUAAGGCAGCAGAGCUAGACAGAUGCAUAGUGGCAAAACGAACCCACUUAUGAGGCUCAGUAUCAUAGAUAGCAAAGAAAGUUUCACAGUUUGUGAUCCACAUCUUUGGGUUAGAUCCAUCGAAUCUGGGGAACUCAAUUUGGUAGAGCAGGAUUGACAGCCAUACAGUGUAAACGUUUAUGAUGUCUACAUUCAUACACUUAGGCAAUUGAUGAAAGUGCUUAGAAUUUGCACCUGCACCUGCAACAGGUUGGUGGGAUGAGGCAGUGGUAAACACCACCCCAUGUCCUGGCUUGCCGCGGUCUAACGACCCUGGUGUUGCCCCAGGCGAGGUAGGCUCCAGAUGGGCGCCAGGUGUUCCUCCUCCACAUGCGUUGUCGAUGAUGAGGCUAUGGUGAUCUAAGGUA